rnacentral:rRNA from 1 species
CUGCAUGGCUGUCGUCAGCUCGUGUCGUGAGAUGUUGGGUUAAGUCCCGCAACGAGCGCAACCCUUCUCCUUGUUUGCCAGCGGGUUAAGCCGGGAACUUUAAGGAUACUGCCAGUGACAAACUGGAGGAAGGCGGGGACGACGUCAAGUCAUCAUGGCCCUUACGACCAGGGCUACACACGUGCUACAAUGGUAGGUACAGAGGGUUGCUACACAGCGAUGUGAUGCUAAUCUCAAAGAGCCUAUCGUAGUCCGGAUUGGAGUCUGCAACUCGACUCCAUGAAGUCGGAAUCGCUGGUAAUCGCAGAUCAGAAUGCUGCGGUGAAUACGUU